UACGGAGGGUGCAAACGUUGCUCGGAAUCAUUGGGCGUAAAGCGCACGUAGGCGGCUAGAUAAGUCGGGUGUGAAAGCCCUGGGCUCAACCCAGGAAGUGCAUUCGAAACUGUCUAGCUUGAAUCUCGGAGGGGGUCAGAGAAUUCCCGGUGUAGAGGUGAAAUUCGUAGAUAUCGGGAGGAAUACCGGUGGCGAAGGCGGCGACCUGGUCCAUUACUGACGCUGAGGCGCGACAGCGUGGGGGAGCAAACAGG
rnacentral:rRNA from 1 species